AAAUAAAAAUAAUGCAUAUAACUAGAUUUCUUUAAAAAUCUAGUGUUAUAUAUAUAAUAUAUAUAUAAUGCUUUAUUACAGGUACGUACAGGUAUGAUGUAACUGCAACAGCCAAUAUGAAAAAAAGUUGUCUAUUAUGCAGAAAAUAUGUUUCAUCAGACAAACAUGAUAGAUUGAUAGCUUGCAUGGUUUGUGCAUUCCGGUCUAUAAUUUUUAGGGGUAAUUGGUCUCUCAGACUUGGUCCUAAUACUCUUUUCUUACCUUUCUU
rnacentral:lncRNA from 1 species